UCAGACAAACUAGCGACACACAAGUCGAGUAUCUCGACAUGCCAUUUUGACAAGCACGGGGUCAAUUCUAACCAUUUUCAAUAAAUUAGGGGUCAAAAUGUUGAUUUAUCAAAAAUAUAUAUACUUAAGUCAUAUAUCUAGCCACCCCAAAAUUAAUAUGCCUAGUUAGCCA